rnacentral:rRNA from 1 species
UACGUAGGGUGCAAGCGUUAAUCGGAAUUACUGGGCGUAAAGCGCGCGCAGGCGGCUUUGUAAGUCUGGUGUUUAAUCUCGGGGCUCAACCCCGAUUCGCAUUGGAAACUGCAAGGCUUGAGUGCAGAAGAGGAAAGUGGAAUUCCACGUGUAGCGGUGAAAUGCGUAGAGAUGUGGAGGAAUACCGAUGGCGAAGGCAGCCCCCUGGGCCAAUACUGACGCUCAUGCACGAAAGCGUGGGGAGCAAACAGG